GGCUUUGUGUUAUUAUUGGUUGUUGUUGUCAACAUUUCAGCUUUUUCUCAUUGUGCCUUUGCUCUAUUUUUACAAUUUUGGCAGUUUUUUAAAAUUGUAUUUUGUUUCUGCAGUGAUGCAAUGACAAUGAACCAGGGGCCGUGGAUGGACCCUGGGCUGCACUUUGGGCACCCCUAUUUUUGUGGCUCUUUGUCGGGGUCGAGCUAAUUCAGGGAUGUUAUGGACUCUGAUGUCUUAUUCAGUAGGGGGUGUUUUGCUUGACUCUGACCUCUCUGUAUCCCCAAACAUAUCCAGAGUUAAUCCUCCAGCUUAUCCUGGAUAUGAAGACAUCCUGCUUCAUCGUACAAGCCCCUGGUUUAUGGAGGACGACAUAAGAUGAUAAGUUCAUACCAGUUUUUGAUUCUGACUGUUUCUGUGCAGAAGUGUCUUAGAAUUGCAUGUGUACUGUAGCAAGGCUGAAGAAAGAAUACAGUAAAUGUCAUACUACACUAGACUAUAGUAUUCCAUUACAAGUUAAUCAGAGAGCUGCUGACCCGUGUUGAUUGUGAUCUUGCAGGAAUCCACUUGAUCUAGUUAGCAUCUAGUUACCUACAUUGUAGCCACCUUCAUUGUGUUUGUUGCCGUCUCCUCCUCUCCCUCUCCAUGCUCACAUCUAGAUGGCGUAACUGCUGCAGGAAGCCCGAGUUCGGACAGAUGUCUCGGUGAGUCCUGACAGCAGCCGCCGCCUCCCUGAGGCUCAGAUCUUCACAGAUCAUGAGCCAGUGCCCUGCUAAUGUAUCGUGCUGUUGGGUAGAAGAAGGGACUCAGGAUGAAGUCCACUGAAUCAUCAGCCUCUACUCCGUAAUAGUCCACGAGCAUGUCUCUGUAGAAGCGGGGCCCCGUGUGGACAAUGAAAUGCGGCCACUGGCUGUUAUGUGGGGAUCCAUGAGCUGCGUUUACAAUGAGAAGCUCCUGUAGCUCUGACACAGAGGGAGGCUCGUAUGAUGGAUCCCUGAGAGACAUUCUGGUUGGGCCAGACUUCAUCCACUGCUGUGAGCUCCAGAGUGCAGGAAUCCAAAAUGAGCUCCAGUUCUUUAAUGAGCACCAGGUCGUGUUGCUGCUCUUUGCGUCCUGACAUUCUGUCCUCAUCGGCGGAGAACCAUAACACUGUUUGAGUCGAAUGCCGGUCACUGCCAAAGGCUGCUCACUGCACAGUGAAGGACAUCAGCAGGUGCUUGUUUGAAUGCCAAAAUUAGCUCAGUGUUUUCUCGUAUGAUGUUGUGUGACGGCCAAAGGUCCAAGACUGAGACGCCGAGGUCACUCGAGCAGUAUUGUUGGAAGGAUUUUUCUCUUUACUUAUUUAUGUGCAACUUCCUGUCAGCAGCUUUUUAUAAAUG